CCUACGGGAGGCAGCAGUGGGGAAUAUUGGGCAAUGGGCGCAAGCCUGACCCAGCAACGCCGCGUGAAGGAAGAAGGCUUUCGGGUUGUAAACUUCUUUUCUCAGGGACGAAGGAAGUGACGGUACCUGAGGAAUAAGUCACGGCUAACUACGUGCCAGCCGCCGCGGGAAUACGUAGGUGGGAAGCGUUAAUCGGAUUUACUGGGUGGAAAGGGCGUGUAGGCGGGAAUGCAAGUCAGAUGUGAAAACCACGGGCUCAACCUGUGCACUGCAUUUGAAACUGUAGUUCUUGAGUACUGGAGAGGCAGACGGAAUUCCUAGUGUAGCGGUGAAAUGCGUAGAUAUUAGGAGGAACACCAGUGGCGAAGGCGGUCUGCUGGACAGCAACUGACGCUGAGGCGCGAAAGCGUGGGGAGCAAACAGGAUUAGAUACCCGAGUAGUC
rnacentral:rRNA from 1 species